GAGGUACAAUCUAAAGCAAGAGUUCCUCGAACUUGAGGAAAAGGGUGUUGAUGACCCCUAUAGUCAUCCACCUAGUGGAGUGAGCUUGGAUGACUAGAAAUAUCUUAUUGAUGUUGCUUGGAAAGACGAAUCUCACUUGAAAUGCUCUAAAGCUGGUAAAGCAAAUAGGGGUAUGCUCCCCUACAAUCAUACAAGUGAAUCGCGAUCAUUUCCUAUAGCAAUGUCGCUUAUGGCAAAUGAGGAUGGAGAAAUAGAUUUCCCUGAAUUUUAUAAGAAAUCACACAAGUCCAAGAAGACGGGAGACAAGAUUGACCCCAAAUGUGG